rnacentral:lncRNA from 1 species
CAUUUAUUAGCUGUGUGACCUUGAACACAUCACUGUCACUUAGCUUAUCUGCUCUCCAAAUGACAUUUGUGAGGGUUGAGGAGGUUCUUCCUGUAUUGACAGUGCCAGGCAGGCAGCCGGUGCCUUGUUAAUUUUCAUCUUUUCCUUCAUCUUUGUCUCAAGCAGUGAGCUUAGAACUGAAGCUAGAGAUGAAUAGAGUGGCCUCCUGGGGCUGGGGGAUUUUCUAGAUGAGGCAUCAAGGAUCCUGAGUCCUAGCCAGUCGUGACCCUGCCCCUUUCUGGACAUCGUGGACAAAACCUCGUCUGCCUUGGCAUCUCUAAUUUGCCAAAUUUAGCUUCCCAGUGACUUCCUCUCGUGGUGCUCUGGGGCAGCCUCUUGGCUCUGGCCCCAAGCAGGAACCGUGAGGACAGCCUAGCAGGAUCUGAGAGGGGCAGAGUUUCGGAGAUGGAAAAUGAAUCAGAGGAAGCUCCUUGCUGUGAGUGUGACCCCAUGCUGGGCUUGGGAGCUGCGGUCUGCAUCCUUUGGCUGCCCAGGAGCCUUGUUUGAGAGCAGCUGUGAUGUGGAUGGGGAGGCUGGUGCUUUGCUGGACAUUGAGAUGGCACAGAGCCUGAGACUCGGGGAGUGCAAGCUGAGACAUGGAGGGGACAGGAGCCGCCUGAGGUCCCCCGAGUCUUACACCCUGUUUGAGCAGGACAGUGACAGUGAAUAGUCCAUUCUGUUCCCUUUCCUUCCCUGUCCCGGCACCAUGGGAUGGGAGGCAGUGCCACUACCCCAAGUUGAAGAUCCUCCUGAGGGAGUUAAUAUCCUGUGAUUACACAGUUGAGGCGUGCUUCACAGGCCCACUUAAAGGAGGGCAGUGCAGUGGAUCCUGCCUGAACAGCCGGACCUUUACUGGAAAGUGACACUCCCGCACCAGCCAGCAUAAAGGUGCUGUAGGGACAUCUGGCUUUUCAUUUCUUCUUCACCUCAUUCACAGGGUUCUUUCUAAAUUCCACAGCACCUGGGAAGUGACGGACGGAGAUAGACUUUCUCUGAAGCCUAACAGGCCCAGGAUGACUUCCCCAGCAUUGACUGAUAAAUUUAGUAAUUACUCAUUCCGAGCCUGGGGUGUAGGGGCAAAGGCUGUAUGAGAAAAUGGUACCUAAAUCUGCUUUCCUUUAUAUAAAAAAAGUGAAGCGGUGGGACAAGCCCUUGCUUCUUUGGCCAUCAGUAUUACAAGUCCACUGUCACCGUGCCGCCCCUACGGACUUAGCGCCUCCUUCGUGGGUGCCUCUUGGUGGAUGGCUUGACGCCUCCUCCACCGAUCUCACUGCUGUUCUGACCACAGCAGUUCACUUGAUUUGGAGCUGUCAUCUCCACUGUCUUUCUUCACACAGCUGGAGCUGUAAAACUGUCUGCCCUGCCAUCUUGACGCUUACAGCUGGCAUCUUUUUCUUUUGUCAUUGGCUUCUGAGACAUAGCAGAGACAGCUGGUGAGGGAGUCCUCCGUGAGAAUACUUCUG